CAGUUCAAGACUGCACAAAUCCCACGCAUAAGCUCGUGGCAGCUAUCCCACGCGUAAGCCCGUGGAGGCUAUCCUACGCAUAAGCUCGUAGAGGCUAUCCCACGCGUAAGCCCGUGGAGGCUAUCCUACGCAUAAGCUCGUAGAGGCUAUCUCAUGACAAGGUUAGUCCAAUCCAUUUUACAUGUCUAGUUUUACAUGUUUAAUCACAUUUCAAUCACGUCACAUAUUUUCAUAAUUUCUCAAAAA
rnacentral:lncRNA from 1 species